ensembl:snRNA U6 U6 spliceosomal RNA
GUGCUUGCUUCGGCAGCACAUAUACUAAAACUGGAACGUUACAGAGAAAAUUAGCCUAGCCCCUGUGCAAAGAAGCCAUGCACAUUUGUGAAGCAUCCCAUAUUUUU